UUUUAGAUGGCGACCGGCGCACGGGUGAGUAACACGUAUCCAACCUGCCGAUGACUCGGGGAUAGCCUUUCGAAAGAAAGAUUAAUACCCGAUGGCAUAGUUCUUCCGCAUGGUAGAACUAUUAAAGAAUUUCGGUCAUCGAUGGGGAUGCGUUCCAUUAGGUUGUUGGCGGGGUAACGGCCCACCAAGCCUUCGAUGGAUAGGGGUUCUGAGAGGAAGGUCCCCCACAUUGGAACUGAGACACGGUCCAA
rnacentral:rRNA from 1 species